rnacentral:rRNA from 1 species
UAUCUUUAGUUGCCAUCAUUGAGUUGGGCACUCUAAAGAGACUGCCGGUGGUCAAACCGGAGGAAGGUGGGGAUGACGUCAAGUCCUCAUGGCCUUUAUGACCAGGGCUACACACGUACUACAAUGGCCGGUACAAAGGGCAGCGACACAGCGAUGUGAAGCCAAUCCCGAAAAAGCCGGUCUCAGUCCGGAUUGGAGUCUGCAACUCGACUCCAUGAAGUUGGAAUCGCUAGUAAUCGCGGAUCAGCACGCCGCGGUGAAUACGUUCCCGGGCCUU